GGUUGGGUAGUGGUUUGAGCGUUGGACUAGGACUCCGUAGACAAGGGUUCGAUUCCCCGCUCAGCCA